AGAGCCUGCCUUUCAGGCAUCCUCUCCCAAAAACUUCGAUGACCCGGGCGGUUUCGUCCGGGUCUUUUUUUGCUUCGUU
rnacentral:sRNA from 1 species